CAAAACCUCAACCCUCUUUCUCCCUCACGCCGCUCCUCCUUGCUGCUAUCUCUCACGUCGCCAGCCAACCACCUCAUGCACUCCUCCUCCGUCGCGUUGCAGCCUCCCUCGUCGCCACCACCGAGAUGCUGCCACCAUCGACCCACGCAACCACCGCACACCACCAGUCGCGCUGCCGCACUAGCCGCCGCAGCUUCCCAGUCAGGUUGUCGCUUUCCUUCUCCUCCUCUUUGUUUCUUCCUUGCUCCACACACGUCGCCCAACCACUGUAACCAGACGCGACGACCACCGGUGUUGCACCCCUGCGGCACAACCGCCGGCAACCGCAACCCUGCCGCCGCCGUCCCUCCUCCGGUUUGAAGAUGAUGCAUCAUUGGGUUCGGGACUAGAGAGCUUGUAUUUAGGUUCGAUUUGCUAAGUUGACUUUGGUUUGUUGAAUUGGACUUUAAACUUGUUGAACUAGCUACAUUGACUUUAUUUUCGUUGAUUGGUUUUGGAGUUAACUCUGUAGUUGAUUAUUUAUAAACUUAAAGUUAGUUUUAUGUUUUAAGCUGCAAAAUUCUGAAUAAGCCGUUCCGUUUUCACACA